GGAGUAUUGAGUUAAGGCCUGGCGCUCCCUCACCCGGUGAUGGCGGUUUAUUGGUGGUGGGUGGGGUGUGGGUAGAUGGUCCUCUGUUAUGGGUUGGGUUGGGUAGGGUAGGGUAGGGUAGGGUAGGGUAGUUCUGUUACCGAGCGUUGCGGUGUUGUACACUCACAUCUGUACAGCAGUAGUAGCAGCAUCAGCAGGGGUGUGAGAGGCAGGGCUGUAUGUUGUGUUUUAGGGGUUUAACUGCAAAGGUCGGUUUCGGGGCUUGCGCGUUUUUUGUUUGUCCCAUUCAACCGUCCGUGUAGCAAAGUGCAGGGAAAGAACCUGGUAGACGGUAGAUUUAGAAAGUUGAAAACGCAGCAGUUACACUGGGUUGUUCUCGGGACGACAACGUCCAACGUGUGGACGAGAGCCAAAAAGAGCCAAAGAGCCAAAGAGAUGCACCUAUUGGAGUGACUCACGGCUGCCGUGUAUUUGUGCAAAUGAAGACUGCGGGGGGGCUUAACAUCAUACGCGUACGUCUUCUUGCUGUAUCCAUCUACUGUAACUGUGGCGCCACUGAUUGCGCAUCUGCCCCAGACACAAGGUCCAUAGAUGCAUUAACAAUUACAAGCGCUCCAGGAGUGGCAUUGCGUCGAAUGGAAAGCGCAGUUACAGCAUCUCGCGGUGGCAUCGUUUCGGCUUCCUGUGCGGUGAUCCUCGCGUGCCAUUCCCAUUUAUAUUUCCCUUAUAUUGGAUUGAUGAUCAUUACUAUUAUACUAAUUUAAUGAUACUACGAGCUUCUACCUGUUUCGUAGGGAGCUUGAGACGUGCUGACAUCUCGGAAGUGUGGAUAAGCUGAAAGCUUGUCUAGAAGAAUAGCUCAUCCGCGAGUUAAUAAUAACGGAUCGGCCAAGUAGAUCCGCAACAUUUUCCCCUAGGUAAGGAAAACAAAAGUGGCCUAGGUAGGGAUUACCAGAGCUGCUCGUCCGCGAAGCACUCGUGAGCAGAACGUUUCUAGCUCUGCAUAGACAUCACACAUUCAGAUAUAAAUGUGUU
rnacentral:lncRNA from 1 species